rfam:Daphnia pulex DAPPTscaffold_9368_Cont17687, whole genome shotgun sequence.
AUCUUUGCGCAUGGGUAAUCUCUAUCAGUGACGUUUUAACGGAGGUGAGAUUAUUGCUAGUUGAAAACUACCCCAAUGCCCCGCUCUAUGGCUUGCCAUAGGGCAAUUUUUGGAGGAUUGUUUUGCCAAU